rnacentral:lncRNA from 1 species
AACCUAUGGGUACUCUGACAGCUCUGAAGCUUAGAUUGGAUAGCCAAGAUAUUUUUAUUUUGACGCCAAUACUCACUUGGUGUCAGAGGCCCAUACGAACCCACUGCUCAGUGAACCCCACACAGCCAGAAGUUUUAUAAAGAAUUUGGCAGUGUGUACAGUGUUUCUUCAUGCCUGUGAGAGGGACUAGCAGUGCCUGCCCUCCUCUUUUGUCUCCUCUUUGGUAUAUUAGGGUUGCUAAGACAGUGUUUGUUUGGUUUACAGAAACCGACUCUGACUAGGCCAAGAGAGUGAACGAACUCCCCACACUUGUAGUUCAGCUUGCCAGCUCCCCUGAGAAGAGUGAAGAGGUCACUUAGGGAUGCUCUGUGGGUCAGGGCCUGGCGGGGAGCAGACCUGUUUUCAGUGUUACAGUUUUGCAGUGUUACUGCCAGUAUUAAGUUGUAAUAACCCUGUAGAUGAUAGGCUAGGGUAGCUACUAACUUCUGAUGUGUGAGAACCUCUUUCUAGAGAGCCCUCUUUAAACCCUGUGUGGCUUUACAUGUAGCAGUUUAUUCUCGGGUCUAACUUUGUGUCACAAGAACUAGAUUCCCAAGUGUCCUAGUUUUUAUUUUGUUUUGUUUUGUUUUGUUUUGUUUUUUUGAUAUGUAUAUAGAAAGAUAAACCUACUUUGUGGCCUUUAAUAAUGAGAACUAUCUCGGUAUUACUGUAUUAUUCUAGAAAAUGUAGUGUGCACAUGCAGGGUUCGUUUCUCUACCUGAGAGGGACAGGUAAGACAUUGUACGUUUACAGACUCAGCAGACAUUGUGAAGUGCUGUGGAGUCCGCAGAUUUCAAACUGGCAAUGGCGCCCUUUGUUACUGAAAUGUUGGCAGUUUCUUAUGCUGGGUUUGAAUGGGACGCAGUUAGCGAUGAUCCCCGUCCUGCCUGCUGCCGGCUGAGGGCUUGCCUGAUGCAGCAGGCUGGCUCAGCUCCUGAUGCCCAUCACUAGUACUUUCUCCUUUUUUUUUUUCUUUUCAUUUUUUAUAUUUUCCCCUUCAGUGUUGUUUGUUUGAUAGGAUGCUUUGUUAUUUUUAAUAUGAGCUGCGUGAGCCACAACACUUGGUUGCAAAGGGGCAUUGUUUUUUAAACGACAUUUGAUUUUUAUUUAAAAACAAUUUCACAACAUGUAUACUAGCCUUUUGGACUCUGAAGUUAUUAAUUAGAGGCUAUUUUUCUGAAAAUGAAUCUAUAUUCUUUCACAGUGCCAAACCACAUCUUUGUGAAAUGAGUUAAUCCAGGUCUGGGAUGUCUUUUUCCCACCUUUUCUUUGGGAAGGGGAGGUUGGCUUUUGACUGAGUUCAUUCCAAUGGACCUGUUAAAUAAUCUGUGCUCGCUCACUCGCUCACUCGCUCGUGUUCUCUCUGUAUGUUUGGAACAUUCCCAGAAUGGAACCUGUCAUGUUGGAGACAGCUCUGUUCAAAGGGAGGAGACCUUAAAUGCAGAUUGUUCCCUUCUGUUGUUCUGUAAACCUCCCUUGGGGGAGGAGCAGUAUCCUUUCCUUCAGAGCGGUUGUUAAGAUGGGUUGAUGCCGACUGUCACGCUAAUGUGUUGCUGAGCAAGACUGCAGAUUGCUGCCUGAGUAAAAUACUGGAGAGGUGAGCGCAGGCAUUGCCUCAGCGCGCUGUGACUCUAUUUUACCCUUUCGCUCACCGUGGAAUCUGUUGCUCUCUUAGUCUGAGACAUCCUGGAGAAAUAAGCGGGCUGAUGGGGAAAAAAGAAAAGAAAAACUUGGAUGGUUACUGUCCCUGGACCGUAAUCCUGCCUGGAAACCCUAACUUAACUCUGAAGGGGAUACUUCUCUGACCCGUGCUGUUAAUUCUUUGUAUGAAGGUAGAUAGAUAUACUAAUAACAUUGCCUGGUUUCUCUCUGCAUAUCAUUACAUUUAACCCUUUGAGUCCUUGCUGCUUAUCAUUUCAAAGAGGCUGCUUUCCCACCCCCCUAAAUUUACUCUCUCUGGCACAGCAGCAUCUUGGUGUUUGGUCUUUAAGCUCCUUUGUCUGGCAGCAAGAGCUUGCUCUGAUCUGUGACUUUCUCAGAGCCAGCAAGCCCUCUGGGGCUACUUGCCUGUGAAGUAGCUCUUUUUGACAUGGAAAAUCUUUGUAUUUUAAUCAGCGCCUUAUUAUUUUGGGCUGCUUUUCUGAUGUCUUUUCAGUAGAGACACUUGUGUGUGAAUGUGUCGUUGGGAACUUGCUUUAUCCUCCUCUUCUGCAAACACUGGCUGCAUGCUUACUCUGAUGCUUCCUUUCUAGCUCUUCUGUACUCUCUCCUGCGAUCUGUAAGUCCUGUGUUAAUAAACGAUUCUUUGGCAUAUUUUG